rnacentral:rRNA from 1 species
AUUGAACGCUGGCGGCAUGCUUUACACAUGCAAGUCGAACGGUAACAGGCCGCAAGGUGCUGACGAGUGGCGAACGGGUGAGUAAUGCAUCGGAACGUGCCCAGUCGUGGGGGAUAACGCAGCGAAAGCUGCGCUAAUACCGCAUACGAUCUAUGGAUGAAAGCGGGGGACCGUAAGGCCUCGCGCGAUUGGAGCGGCCGAUGUCAGAUUAGGUAGUUGGUGGGGUAAAGGCUCACCAAGCCGACGAUCUGUAGCUGGUCUGGGAGGACGACCAGCCACACUGGGACUGAGACACGGCCCAGACUCCUACGGGAGGCAGCAGUGGGGAAUUUUGGACAAUGGGCGCAAGCCUGAUCCAGCAAUGCCGCGUGCAGGAAGAAGGCCUUCGGGUUGUAAACUGCUUUUGUACGGAACGAAAAGGCUCUGGUUAAUACCUGGGGCUCAUGACGGUACCGUAAGAAUAAGCACCGGCUAACUACGUGCCAGCAGCCGCGGUAACAC